UGGCCCUCACUAGGCCAGAUGCUACCUAUUCUUUUGCUUCUUACUUCAUUUACCUCUUGUCUUACCUCCCAAUCCACCUUAUACUUUAGCAAAACUGAAAUACUCAUUGUCAUGUGACAGGGCCAAGUCAGAUAACAGAUAGGCUAACACCUAGGUCAGUGAUAUUUCCUCUACCUCAAAAUACGAUAUUCACGUUUAAGUCAUAAUACCAUAUUCAUGUUUAAGUCCAUUCAAUCUAGAUAUCUAUGAACAUUCUAAUAAAUGACCAAGACAAAAACUCAAAAAGCACAAAGUGACUUUCUCAUAUUCCUUACUGUCUUUUGGAAUCUUUCUCAUAUAUAUCUGGGAUGUAAGCUCUGGAAAGAAAUUCAUUUUUGCCAUCAAGCUUUUGGUAAUUUCCAUAGUCACAAGGGGGGCUUCCUUGGUGGCCAAGUGGUAAAGAACCCACCUGCCAAUGGAGGAGACAUGAGUUCGAUCCCUGGGCUGGAAAGAUCCCCUGAAGAAGGAAAUGGCAACCCACUCCAGUAUUUUGCCUGGGAAAUCUUAGGGACAGAGAAGACUACAGUGGGGUCCCAAGAGUCAGACACAACUUAGUAAGUAAACUAAAACAGUAAAACUGUGAGGCUUUUCUGUCUACAUGUUGGGGCCAGGAUGCUGGAGAAUUCGAGUGGCCUGCUCUCCAGGGGCUAACUGCCUUGAAGAUCUGAUACACUGACCUUUGCCUUCUUUUCCCCUUCUAUGAUGCCAGCCAAGAAGCCUCACGUCAACUUUGCACCCCUUAGCUAUGGGAGGGGGGCACUCCAGGUGCCCAAUUUCUGUCCUGAUGACCCUCCAGAGCCCUAUCAUAAAACACAUUGACAACCUCUUCUACCCUUUCCAGAAGAGAGGCACUUGGGUUGCCUGGAAGCCCAAGGAUCUCAGAACGAUCCCCAGUCAACUAUCUUCUGAUCCCUCAAAGUUGUUGAGAGCUUUCAGAAUUCAACAUGGACACUCCAUUUACUCCUUUCACAAUGAAAAGCAAACUCUUGGGCAUAUGUUGUUUGAAGAGAAAAGCAGAUUUUGCAUUUUUGCAGAGAGAAUGUGCAUGGUGGGGUGCCCCACUGCUGCGAACAUGCAGCCCAGUUCUCCAGCUGCCAGGGUGCUGGAGCUGACCCAGGAAUGACCGCAGUAGCCAGAAUGAGCAGAGGGCUAGGUGGUGCCCAAGCCAUAAUAACAGGCAGAAUCCCGUGUCUUUUUGAAUGGCUCCUGGCAUCUGCGGGAUUUGCUUACCUGGCGAUGGCAUUGGGCUGGGCAGAGCCAGGUGUGUGCCAGGCUUCCUGAAGCCUCCCUGGCAGGCAAAAGUGCUUCAGAGGCUAUGCACUCCAAAGCAGAUGGAUUCGUCCUUGGCGUGCUUCUUGGAGUGGAGUUGCUGGGCUGCUGAUCUUGCCGCUCUCAGGCUCAGGGUCACUGAUCCAUCCCCACCUUCCCUAAGCUGCCUGCAGUGUUCUCCAACUAGGAACUAUGGCGUCCAGAGGUGCUGCGAGUCAUAUUCCUACUGCUCCACAGGAUCCUGCUCUUGAAGGGCAACAACUGCAAUACCACCUGGAAACUCCAGUUUGACGUCCAGCCCAGCCUCCUCUGAUGUUCCUGAUGUCAUUCUGGACUUCUUUAAUUGCGGAUGUUGGCAAUUAGCUGCGGCAGCGAUGGCGCGGGAGCGAUGGCGUGGGAGCGGCGGAGAGGAGCUCCCCCAUGUCCAAGGUCAGGGGCAGCGGAUGAGAGGAGCUACCAUAUACCUGAGUAUAUACAUAUAUAUAACUGAAUCGCUUUGCUGUAUACAUGAAACUAAUGCAACAUUGUAUAUCACUAGAGUUCAAUAAAAAAAAUAGAAUAAAAAUAAAAUUUAACGUAUCAAAUGUUCA
ensembl:lncRNA